CCCUUAGAUGUUCUGGGCCGCACGCGCGCUACACUGAUGCAUUCAACGAGUCUAAAACCUGCUCUGAUAGGGGUGGGUAAUCUUUUGAAUGUGCAUCGUGAUUGGGAUAGAUGAUUGAAAUUUUUCAUCUUCAACGAGGAAUGCCUAGUAAACGCAAGUCAUCAGCUUGCAUUGAUUACGUCCCUGCCCUUUGUACACACCGCCCGUCGUUCCUACCGAUUGAAUGAUCCGAUGAAUAUCAUGGAUUGAGGAUGCAAGUAGGUUCACCUAUCUUCAUCUUCGAGAAGUGAAGUAAAUCUUAUCAUUUAGAGGAAGGAGAAGUCGUAACA
rnacentral:rRNA from 1 species